rnacentral:lncRNA from 1 species
AUCCCUAUGGGGUCCUAUGGGGUAUCCCUAUGGGGUCUUAUGGGGUAUCCCUAUGGGGUCCUAUGGGGUAUCCCUAUGGGGUCCUAUGGGGUCCUAUGGGGUAUCCCUAUGGGGUCUUAUGGGGUAUCCCUAUGGGGUCCUAUGGGGUAUCCCUAUGGGGUCUUAUGGGGUAUCUCUAUGGGGUCUUGGGGACACCCCUAUGGGGUCUUUGGGGUCCUUUGGUUCCUAUUAAAGCCAUUGUGCCACUGCAGCUGUGUGCUCUGCUGGGACCCCCCCCAUUGAUGUCCCCAUUCAUGUCCCUCACCCCAUUCAUGUCCCCAUUCAUGUCCCCAUUCAUGUCCCCAUUCAUGUCUCACCCCAUUCAUGUCCCCAUUCAUGUCCCCAUUCAUGCAUUGCCCCCAUUGAUACCCCCCCCAUUCAUGACCCCAUUGAUGCCCCCACCCCAUUGAUGUCUCCCCAUUGAUGUCCCUAUUGCUAUCCCCAUUCAUGUCCCUCACCCCAUUGAUAUCCCCCCCAUUGCUGUCCCCAUUGAUGCCCCCCACCCCAUUGCUGGCCCCAUUGCUGUCCCCCCAUUGAUGCCCCCAUUCAUGUCCCCAUUCAUGCCCCUCGCCCCAUUGAUAUCCCCCCAUUGCUGUCCCCAUUGAUGCCCCCACCCCAUUGAUGUCUCCCCAUUGAUGUCCCUAUUGCUAUCCCCAUUCAUAUCCCUCACCCCAUUCAUGUCCUCCCAUUCAUGUCCCCAUUCAUGUCUCCAUUGAUGCCCCUCGCCCCAUUGAUAUCCCCUCAUUCAUGUCCCCAUUCAUGUCCCCUCAUUGAUAUCCCCCCCCCAUUGAUGUCCACAUUCAUGUCCCCCACCCCAUUCAUGUCCCCAUUGCUGCCCCCACCCCAUUCAUGUCCCCAUUGAUGUCCCCACCCCAUUGAUACCCCCCCAUUCAUGUCCCCAUUCAUGUCUCCAUUGAUGUCCUCGCCCCAUUGAUAUCCCCCCAUUCAUGUCCCUAUUCAUGUCCCCUCAUUGAUAUCCCCCCCCAUUGAUGUCCCCAUUCAUGUCCCCCACCCCAUUGAUGUCCCCAUUGAUGUCCCCACCCCAGUGAUUUCCCCCCAUUCAUUGUCCCCACCCCACUGAUGUCCCCAUUAAUGUCUUGACCCCAUUCAUGUCCCACCCCAUUGAAUAUCCCCCAUUGAUGUCACCACCUCUUCAAUGUCCUCCCGCAGUUCAUGUCCCCAUUCACUGUCCUCUCUCCCCAUUGAUGUCCCC